GGCACUCCUUGGGCCUGCCCCAGGCUUGUCUGGAGAAUACUGGGAAAUAAACCUCCAAAUGGGAGAGUGAACGCUGUCCAGAGUGGGGACUGACUGACUCUAGGCCCUAUCCCCAGAGGGGAAGCUCUGAGCCUGCCAAGACAGAGGAGGUGCAUCUGUAAUGACACCUUUUAGAUACAAAGUUAUGACAUUAGAGAGUUGGGGUACACUGAACUGGUCAGGCCAGCUGAAACUCACUACUAGAUACUAGUGAGUCUCUUGACCUAUUGCAAAGAGUUGCAGUAGUACAGUAAAAAAAUGAGUACAGGGUAACAUCAUCAUUUAUUCAGUUUAAUAAUAAAUUAGAUAUUUCUCCUUUCAGUGUUAGUUGUCCAGGAAGUCAUCAGUAACACAGUUUGAUCGAGGUCUGCUGUGUCGGCUAUCUGCACAGAGCUGGGACAGCCUACUGAAAGAACACACAUGCAGCAAACAUCUGACUACAACUAGAACGAGGCAACCAAGAAUUUUGGUAAGAAUAUAAAUCAGCAGGUUUUCGGCAUAAGCCAGCCACUAACUAAUGAGGAUUAGGAAGAAGCUUUCCUUGUGCUAUUCAAUAACUGCCUACUACAGAGUUCCCUGCAUCUUCUCUGAAGCAGCUUGUACUGGCCACUGUUGGAGACAGGAUGCUGGACUAGAAGAACCACUGAUUCAAUCCAGUGUGGCAAUUGUUACUGUCCAUAAACCCUUACUGUGUUAGUGUUCAUUGAAUUUAUUUUACAAUGAGGCAAAAUGGUAUCAAGUUGAGUACAUAAAUCCUGUGAAUGUUCCCUCAAACGUUUACUAAGACUAUGAUGAUGUCCACAUAUGCAUCAAUAUGUUGUAUAAGAACAGGAGUAAACCUGUUCAACAGAUAAAUUUACUCCAUCUCAGUCUCCGCAAAUUCUGUUUUCUGUUAUAAAAUCCAGCUGUGCCUUGGUGAUGUAUUAUAAUAGUAUAUCAU